GCAGUCGGACGGUGAUGAGGGGCUUGCCCUUCUGAUCAGUGGCGAACGGGUGAGUAACACGUGAGUAACCUGCCCUUCACUCUGGGAUAACGCUGGGAAACCGGUGCUAAUACUGGAUAUGACCUGCUCGGGCAUCCGAUGUGGGUGGAAAGAUUUAUUGGUGGAGGAUGGACUCGCGGCCUAUCAGCUUGUUGGUGAGGUAAUGGCUCACCAAGGCGACGACGGGUAGCCGGCCUGAGAGGGCGAUCGGCCACACUGGGACUGAGACACGGCCCAGACUCCUACGGGAGGCAGCAGUGGGGAAUAUUGCACAAUGGGCGAAAGCCUGAUGCAGCGACGCCGCGUGAGGGAUGAAGGCCUUCGGGUUGUAAACCUCUUUCAGCAGGGAAGAAGCGUCUGGGUUUUCUCGGGUGUGACGGUACCUGCAGAAGAAGCACCGGCUAACUACGUGCCAGCAGCCGCGGUAAUACGUAGGGUGCAAGCGUUGUCCGGAAUUAUUGGGCGUAAAGAGCUUGUAGGCGGUUUGUCGCGUCUGCUGUGAAAUUUCGGGGCUCAACCCCGAACUUGCAGUGGGUACGGGCAGACUAGAGUGUGGUAGGGGAGACUGGAAUUCCUGGUGUAGCGGUGAAAUGCGCAGAUAUCAGGAGGAACACCGAUGGCGAAGGCAGGUCUCUGGGCCACUACUGACGCUGAGAAGCGAAAGCAUGGGGAGCGAACAGGAUUAGAUACCCUGGUAGAAUCACUAGUGAAUUC
rnacentral:rRNA from 1 species